AGUGAACGCUGGCGGCAGGCCUAAUACAUGCAAGUCGAACGGCAGCACAGCAGAGCUUGCUCUGUGGGUGGCGAGUGGCGGACGGGUGAGGAAUACAUGGGAAUCUGCCCAGUCGUGGGGGAUAACGUAUGGAAACGUACGCUAAUACCGCAUGCGCCCUACGGGGGAAAGUCGGGGACCGCAAGGCCUGACGCGAUUGGAUGAGCCCAUGUUCGAUUAGCUAGUUGGCGGGGUAAAGGCCCACCAAGGCGACGAUCGAUAGCUGGUCUGAGAGGAUGAUCAGCCACACUGGAACUGAGACACGGUCCAGACUCCUACAGGAGGCAGCAGUAGGGAAUAUUGGACAAUGGGGGCAACCCUGAUCCAGCCAUGCCGCGUGAGUGAAGAAGGCCCUCGGGUUGUAAAGCUCUUUUGUCCGGAAAGAAAAGCAUCUGGUUAAUACCCGGGUGUUCUGACGGUACCGGAAGAAUAAGCACCGGCUAACUUCGUGCC
rnacentral:rRNA from 1 species